rfam:Triticum aestivum genome assembly, contig: Triticum_aestivum_CS42_TGACv1_scaffold_487342_6AS
CAAGUACUCCCUCCGUCCAGAAUUACUUGUCAUCAAAAUGGAUGUGUGUAGAACUAAAAUACAUCUAGAUACAUCCAUUUCAAUGACAAGUAUUUUCGAACGGAGGGAGUACAAG